rnacentral:lncRNA from 1 species
AGGCACCAUGGAGUAAGGCAGGCAGAAGCGUUAGGGAGGAGGAUGACCACCUCUUUUGGGGAAGAAGAUUUAAAACCUGGUCUAUCAUCCAUUAUGUUUCACAGAUUUCCCUAAAGGAGGAAAGAACAGGACUGUAGAUUUAGAACCCAGGAAAGUACUUUCAUAAUGCCAAGGAUCUGAACUCUUCAUUUGAAAAACAAGCAUGCCCACUCAACAGCCAUAGGCAGCAUCUGUCAGUCACAAUCUAGGCUAAUUUGCAAAAUGAGCCUUGAAAGGAAGGUCUUGGUCUUGCUAGAAUCCCAUGAAGCGGUCGAUGAAGCAGGAUCUAAAAACGCUUUGAAGGCUGCAUAGGACAUUGCAAGAUGAGACACAUCACCACACGGACCAAUCCC